UACGGAGGGUGCGAGCGUUAAUCGGAAUUACUGGGCGUAAAGCGCACGCAGGCGGUUUUUUAAGUCAGAUGUGAAAUCCCCGGGCUCAACCUGGGAACUGCAUUUGAGACUGGCAAGCUUGAGUCUUGUAGGGGGGGGUAGAAUUCCACGUGUAGCGGUGAAAUGCGUAGAGAUGUGGAGGAAUACCGGUGGCGAAGGCGGCCCCCUGGACGGAUACUGACGCUCAGGUGCGAAAGCGUGGGGAGCAAACAGG
rnacentral:rRNA from 1 species